rnacentral:rRNA from 1 species
AAUAGAUACCCGGGUAGUCCACGCCGUAAACGAUGAGUGCUAAGUGUUGGGGGGUUUCCGCCCCUCAGUGCUGCAGCUAACGCAUUAAGCACUCCGCCUGGGGAGUACGGUCGCAAGACUGAAACUCAAAGGAAUUGACGGGGGCCCGCACAAGCGGUGGAGCAUGUGGUUUAAUUCGAAGCAACGCGAUGAACCUUACCAGGUCUUGACAUCCCGGUGACCACUAUGGAGACAUAGUUUCCCCUUCGGGGGCAACGGUGACAGGUGGUGCAUGGUUGUCGUCAGCUCGUGUCGUGAGAUGUUGGGUUAAGUCCCGCAACGAGCGCAACCCUUAUUCUUAGUUGCCAUCAUUCAGUUGGGCACUCUAAGGGGACUGCCGGUGAUAAACCGGAGGAAGGUGGGAUGACGUCAAAUCAUCAUGCCCCUUAUGACCUGGGCUACACACGUGCUACAAUGGACGGUACAAACGGUUGCCAACCGCGAGGGGAGCUAAUCCGAUAAACCGUUCUCAGUUCGAUUGUAGGCUGCAACUCGCUACAUGGAACG